GAUGAACGCUGGCGGCGUGCCUAAUACAUGCAAGUCGAGCGAACAGACGAGGAGCUUGCUCCUCUGACGUUAGCGGCGGACGGGUGAGUAACACGUGGAUAACCUACCUAUAAGACUGGGAUAACUUCGGGAAACCGGAGCUAAUACCGGAUAAUAUAUUGAACCGCAUGGUUCAAUAGUGAAAGACGGUUUUGCUGUCACUUAUAGAUGGAUCCGCGCCGCAUUAGCUAGUUGGUAAGGUAACGGCUUACCAAGGCAACGAUGCGUAGCCGACCUGAGAGGGUGGUAGGCCACACUGGAGCUGGGACACGGUCCAGACUCCUACGGGAGGCAGCAGUAGGGAAUCUUCCGCAAUGGGCGAAAGCUUGACGGAGCAACGCCGCGUGAGUGAUGAAGGUCUUCGGAUCGUAAAACUCUGCUAUUAGGGAAGAACAAAUGUGUAAGUAACUAUGCACGUCUUGACGGUACCUAAUCAGAAAGCCACGGCUAACUACGUG
rnacentral:rRNA from 1 species